CUCGGAGCAAAAGCAAUUCAAAACCACAGAACGUUCGCUGAGCUCCUAGCAGGGAAGGAAGCUGUGACCUUCAAGAAGUCUGAUUCCCCUUGCACUGUGGGUAACAGGAGAAGGAGGAGGCAUGGACACUGAAGAACAGCCUCGAGGACAACUGCACAGCCAGGUCUGGAGAGCGGCCGUGGGAGAAGCCUUGAGUGGGUUGAGAGCCCAGCAGCAACUCCGUGGAGGCUAUCACAAGAAUAUCAGAGAAGCGAGGAGGGCUGCUGGUGACUCAGACCCGGUGUGGCUGGGCCUGGUUCUGAAGGAGCUCCUGAGAGCCUGAGUAGAUGCUCAACAAACAUGUGCCGAGUUGAACCUCAGCCAAGCUUGGAGGCAGAAGGAUGGACAGGAUGACUUGGUUGCAGGAGGGCUCUGUCCUGGACCCGGGAUGCCUGUGCACCUCCACCCCAGACUGAGGCAGAGGAACCCUCUACACCUGGAGACAGAAGCUUCUAGAAUCCACGUGGGAGGAAACUGAGGGACUAGACCACAUAGGUCAGCGGCUGAUGGUCUUGACCAUGCAGAGAAACCAAGUGAGUCAACCCGAGGAAGCGAAUAUUGCUCAGAAACCCGAGAGAGCCUGUGAUACCUUCUUUGAAACGUGUUCCUAUGUAAAUCUCCCUUCCUGUCCCUGUUGGAGGACACAAUUGACCUUUUAAAAAGAAGCCCGUCGCCAGGCAUGGUGGUAUGCGCCUGUGGUCCCAGCUACUCUGGAGGCUGAGGCAGAAGGAUCGCUUGAGCCCAGGAGUUUGAGGCUGCAGGGAGCUAUGAUUGCAUCACUGCACUCCAGCCUGAGUGACAGAACAAGAUCCCAUUU